UACGUAGGGCGCAAGCGUUGUCCGGAAUUAUUGGGCGUAAAGAGCUCGUAGGUGGCGUGUCGCGUCUGCCGUGAAAGCCCAUGGCUUAACUGUGGGUCUGCGGUGGAUACGGGCAGGCUGGAGGCUGGUAGGGGCAAGCGGAAUUCCUGGUGGUAGCGGUGAAAUGACGCAGAUAUCAGGAGGAACACCGGUGGCGAAGGCGGCUUGCUGGGCCAGUUCUGACGCUGAGGAGCGAAAGCCGGGUGGGAGCAAACGGG
rnacentral:rRNA from 1 species